rnacentral:misc_RNA from 1 species
GAUGAAGAACGUAGCGAAAUGCGAUAAGUAAUGUGAAUUGCAGAAUUCAGUGAAUCAUCGAAUCUUUGAACGCACAUUGCGCCCCCUGGCAUUCCGGGGGGCAUGCCUGUUCGAGCGUCUCCAGGACGAAUCCUCGCGCGAGUGAACGCGCGGUCGUGCGGAGGUGGCGUGCCCGAGCAGGGCGGCCACCGCGCUGGAAUCCAUGGGCGGACGCCUGCCGCGUGGCCGAGCGUGAUACGACGCAUUGGCGCUCGUGCGCGGCGAGGCUGCCAGCCCUGGCCCGUCUGUCGGGCGGGGUAGGUCAACACGUGGGAACUCCUCGAAUCAGGUAGGGAUACCCGCUGAACUUAAGCAUAUCAAUAAGCGGAGGA